rnacentral:lncRNA from 1 species
AUGCUAACCCUAGUUCUCAUCUUUUCUCUGACUCUCCCUGCCAGUUCUAGCCCGGUGUUGUAUGAAUGGCUUUCUUCUAAAGUAAACUUCUGGCAACAGUUGGCCACAAAAGCCUUAAAUGUCUCAGAUUUUUGCCUGUCCAGUGGGGCCUCAGCCACAGACCUGUUUUCCACCUGUUUAAUUGGCAUUCCAGAACCUCUGGAAAUUUUUAGAAAUUAUACCAUGUUCCAAGACAUCCCAAAGGAUAUGUCUUACAGAGAUCUCUCUAACUGGGGAAGAGUCUCCAUGGACAAGUUGCCUGGCAUGGCUACCAUCCGCCUUGCUCAUGUUCCUCAGGCAGAAAAUUGUUUUCAAAUACCCACCUGCAUCGGUGAGUGCCAUCAGCUUCCCAUUGACAACUCUCUAAAUUGUACACAUAUAGAAAAACUGUCUCAUUUGAAUGCCCAUUUGGUCCUGCCCCCAGGAUGGUUUUUCCUGUGUGGACAGACAGCCUAUGGUUAUCUACCUGCCAAUACCUCCAUGGGGAAUUGUGCAUUGGGUAGGCUGUCUCUUUUUAUGCCCUCCAAGAACGACUUAGAGUUGGCACACUCUUUGGGUCGGAAGGCAAGAUCCAUUCAGAACUUAGACCCGAAUUGUGACCCCUCAGUAGUGCUAAAAGGUAUCCCACAAUUUGUGGCGGCUGCAUUGUUCACUCCUGGAGUGGCCUCAGCCAUGAAUUAUAGGGCCAUAAAGCAUCUGGCCUGCGCUCUGGUCAAAAACCUCAAUUAUACCUCUCAAGCCUUGGCAUCAGUGGCAAAGGAAAUGCAUGAGCUGCGGGAGGCUGUAUUAGAUAACAGGGCAGCUAUUGAUUUCCUCCUAUUGAAAAACCACUAUGGCUGUGAGAGUGUAAGGCACAUGUGCUGCUUUAAUUUGACAGACCAGACUCCUAUGAUUCAUAAAUCCAUCGAGGGUUUGAAUGAUUUGGCCUCAGGAAUUGAGGAGACGACUGGAUUCGACCUUAGUUUUCUGACCGAUUGGCUCCCUUAG